rnacentral:rRNA from 1 species
CCACACUGGGACUGAGACACGGCCCAGACUCCUACGGGAGGCAGCAGUGGGGAAUUUUGGACAAUGGGCGCAAGCCUGAUCCAGCCAUGCCGCGUGUCUGAAGAAGGCCUUCGGGUUGUAAAGGACUUUUGUCAGGGAAGAAAAGGCUGUUGCUAAUAUCGACAGCUGAUGACGGUACCUGAAGAAUAAGCACCGGCUAACUACGUGCCAGCAGCCGCGGUAAUACGUAGGGUGCGAGCGUUAAUCGGAAUUACUGGGCGUAAAGCGAGCGCAGACGGUUACUUAAGCAGGAUGUGAAAUCCCCGGGCUCAACCUGGGAACUGCGUUCUGAACUGGGUGACUAGAGUGUGUCAGAGGGAGGUAGAAUUCCACGUGUAGCAGUGAAAUGCGUAGAGAUGUGGAGGAAUACCGAUGGCGAAGGCAGCCUCCUGGGAUAACACUGACGUUCAUGCUCGAAAGCGUGGGUAGCAAACAGGAUUAGAUACCCUGGUAGUCCACGCCCUAAACGAUGUCAAUUAGCUGUUGGGCAACUUGAUUGCUUAGUAGCGUAGCUAACGCGUGAAAUUGACCGCCUGGGGAGUACGGUCGCAAGAUUAAAACUCAAAGGAAUUGACGGGGACCCGCACAAGCGGUGGAUGAUGUGGAUUAAUUCGAUGCAACGCGAAGAACCUUACCUGGUCUUGACAUGUACGGAAUCCUCCAGAGACGGAGGAGUGCCUUCGGGAGCCGUAACACAGGUGCUGCAUGGCUGUCGUCAGCUCGUGUCGUGAGAUGUUGGGUUAAGUCCCGCAACGAGCGCAACCCUUGUCAUUAGUUGCCAUCAUUUAGUUGGGCACUCUAAUGAGACUGCCGGUGACAAGCCGGAGGAAGGUGGGGAUGACGUCAAGUCCUCAUGGCCCUUAUGACCAGGGCUUCACACGUCAUACAAUGGUCGGUACAGAGGGUAGCCAAGCCGCGAGGUGGAGCCAAUCUCACAAAACCGAUCGUAGUCCGGAUUGCACUCUGCAACUCGAGUGCAUGAAGUCGGAAUCGCUAGUAAUCGCAGGUCAGCAUACUGCGGUGAAUACGUUCCCGGGUCUUGUACACACCGCCCGUCACACCAUGGGAGUGGGGGAUACCAGAAGUAGGUAGGGUAACCGCAAGGAGCCCGCUUACCACGGUAUGCUUCAUGACUGGGGUGAAGUCGUAACAAGGUAGCCGUAGGGGAACCUGCGGCUG